UGCGUAGGCGGAAUAAUAAGUCAGUGGUGAAAUCCUGUGGCUCAACCACAGAACUGCCAUUGAUACUGUUAUUCUUGAAUAUAGUUGAGGUAGGCGGAAUGUGUAAUGUAGCGGUGAAAUGCUUAGAUAUUACACAGAACACCGAUUGCGAAGGCAGCUUGCUAAACUAUGAUUGACGCUGAGGCACGAAAGCGUGGGGAGCGAACAGGAUUAGAUACCCUGGUAGUCC
rnacentral:rRNA from 1 species